rnacentral:rRNA from 1 species
GACGAACGCUGGCGGCGUGCUUAACACAUGCAAGUCGAACGGUAAGGCUCCAGCUUGCUGGGGUACACGAGUGGCGAACGGGUGAGUAACACGUGGGUGACCUGCCCUGCACUUCGGGAUAAGCCUGGGAAACUGGGUCUAAUACCGGAUAGGACCAUGGUGUGGAUACUGUGGUGGAGAGUUUUUUCGGUGUGGGAUGGGCCCGCGGCCUAUCAGCUUGUUGGUGGGGUAAUGGCCUACCAAGGCGGCGACGGGUAGCCGGCCUGAGAGGGUGGACGGCCACAUUGGGACUGAGACACGGCCCAGACGCCUACGGGAGGCAGCAGUGGGGAAUAUUGCACAAUGGGCGGAAGCCUGAUGCAGCGACGCCGCGUGGGGGAUGACGGCCUUCGGGGUGUAAAAUCCUUUCACCAUCGACGAAGGGUUUCUGACGGUAGAUGGAGAAGAAGCACCGGCUAACUACGUG